rnacentral:rRNA from 1 species
GAGUAACGCGUGGGUAACCUGCCUUAUACAGGGGGAUAACAGUCAGAAAUGGCUGCUAAUACCGCAUAAGCGCACAGAGCUGCAUGGCUCAGUGUGAAAAACUCCGGUGGUAUAAGAUGGACCCGCGUUGGAUUAGCUAGUUGGUGGGGUAACGGCCCACCAAGGCGACGAUCCAUAGCCGGCCUGAGAGGGUGAACGGCCACAUUGGGACUGAGACACGGCCCAGACUCCUACGGGAGGCAGCAUG